rnacentral:misc_RNA from 1 species
GUUUUUUUUUUUUUUUUCCGCUAGCGAUCAUUCCCUACAAAUCUCUUAGCAAAGUACAUGAGGUCAUCAAUAUCCAAAUCCUAAUCUUAUGACAAAAUUUUAACAGAUCAAUAGCGCACAAAAUAAAGAUGUAAAAAAAGACAACAUUAGAUUGUGAGUAUACGGGAAAGAUAAAUCUGAGUGUAAGCAAAAAGAUAAAUUAAAAUGUAAAUGUGUAAAGAAGAUAGAUUAAAGUGAAAGUAUGACUUUAUUAUGGCUUGAGAGAAAAAGGUACAGUUUCAAAGAAAAAAUGGUACAAGAAUAGAUCUUACAGAUUCCUUGUAGUUGACUUUGAAGUCCCUUAACUGCCAUUAUUUCAAG